CCUACGGGUGGCAGCAGUGGGGAAUAUUGGACAAUGGGCGAAAGCCUGAUCCAGCCAUGCCGCGUGUGUGAAGAAGGCCUUCGGGUUGUAAAGCACUUUCAGUGGGGAAGAAAGCCUUGGGGCUAAUACCCUCGAGGAAGGACAUCACCCACAGAAGAAGCACCGGCUAACUCCGUGCCAGCAGCCGCGGUAAUACGGAGGGUGCGAGCGUUAAUCGGAAUUACUGGGCGUAAAGCGCGCGUAGGCGGUCUGAUAAGCCGGUUGUGAAAGCCCCGGGCUCAACCUGGGAACGGCAUCCGGAACUGUCAGGCUAGAGUGCAGGAGAGGAAGGUAGAAUUCCCGGUGUAGCGGUGAAAUGCGUAGAGAUCGGGAGGAAUACCAGUGGCGAAGGCGGCCUUCUGGACUGACACUGACGCUGAGGUGCGAAAGCGUGGGUAGCAAACAGGAUUAGAUACCCCUGUAGUA
rnacentral:rRNA from 1 species